rnacentral:antisense_RNA from 1 species
CUUGAUGGAGCCGAGCAGCAGCGGCCGGUCGGUGGGACGGUCCUGGCCGUAGGUGGCCAGCAGUGCCUGCGCCUC